AAUUAAUGAGCUUGUUAAAGCAUAUGUUUUGAAAACAUAAGAAAGAAUUUAUUAUUCUAUUAAUUU
rnacentral:tRNA from 1 species